UACGUAGGUGGCAAGCGUUGUCCGGAUUUAUUGGGCGUAAAGCGCGCGCAGGCGGUUCUUUAAGUCUGAUGUGAAAUCUUGCGGCUCAACCGCAAGCGGUCAUUGGAAACUGGGGGACUUGAGUACAGAAGAGGAAAGCGGAAUUCCACGUGUAGCGGUGAAAUGCGUAGAUAUCAGGAAGAACACCCGUGGCGAAGGCGGCUCUCUAGUACGGUACUGACGCUGAGGAGCGAAAGCGUGGGGAGCGAACAGG
rnacentral:rRNA from 1 species